GAUGAAGAACGUAGCGAAAUGCGAUACUGGGUGUGAAUUGCAGAAUCCCGUGAACCAUCGAGUCUUUGAACGCAAGUUGCGCCUCAAGCCAUUAGGUUGAGGGCACGUCUGCCUGGGCGUCACAUAUCGUUGCCUGAUGCCAGUUUCCUCGUGAUGGGUGACUGUGCAGGGCGAAUGAUGGCUUCCCGUGAGCAUUGUUGCCUCAUGGUUGGUUGAAAAUUGAGUCCUUGGUAGGGAGCGCCGUGAUAGAUGGUGGUUGAGUGACGAACGAGACCCAAUCAUGUGAGACCCCUACCGAAUUUGGCCUUCAUGACCCACAUGCGUCUUUGGAACGCUCAUGACGAGACCUCAGGUCAGGCGGGGCUACCAGCUGAGUUUAAGCAUAUCAAUAAGCGGAGGA
rnacentral:misc_RNA from 1 species